GAGAAAUCUCUUUUCUUUUUCUUUUCUUUUCUUUAUCUUUUCUAUUCUCUCUGUCAUUUUGAAAGAGCAGAGAGAAACAUAUAUAUUUGUCAAUUUCUUGUUUCCGAAGGAUAAAGAACCCAAGGAAGGAAGUGAUCUUUCCAACUCUUCCUCUCUAAACACAGAGGAGGUGCUUGGAGUCUGAUGGGAAAAAUGGAUGAGAUAUGNUGUGAAAAGAAAGGGCAUCCAGUACCACCCCCAUUGCCGGGUCCGGCGACUACCAGCAGCC
rnacentral:misc_RNA from 1 species